AGUAACUGUCCGUACCAUGACGGUACCUUAUUAGAAAGCCACGGCUAACUACGUGCCAGCAGCCGCGGUAAUACGUAGGUGGCAAGCGUUGUCCGGAAUUAUUGGGCGUAAAGCGCGCGCAGGCGGUCCUUUAAGUCUGAUGUGAAAGCCCACGGCUCAACCGUGGAGGGUCAUUGGAAACUGGAGGACUUGAGUACAGAAGGUCGACGCGGCCG
rnacentral:rRNA from 1 species